UACGAAGGGGGCUAGCGUUGCUCGGAAUUACUGGGCGUAAAGCGCACGUAGGCGGAUCAUUAAGUCGGGGGUGAAAUCCUGGAGCUCAACUCCAGAACUGCCUUCGAUACUGGCGAUCUUGAGUCCGGGAGAGGUGAGUGGAACUCCGAGUGUAGAGGUGAAAUUCGUAGAUAUUCGACGAAGACACCAGUGGCGAAGGCGGCUCACUGGCCCG
rnacentral:rRNA from 1 species